CGCACAUUGCGCCCCUCGGUAUUCCGGGGGGCAUGCCUGUUCGAGCGUCAUUGCACCCUUCAAGCCUCGCUUGGUGUUGGGCGGUCGUCUUCCCGGUGGGGAGGCGCCCCCGAAAAUCAGCGGCGGUCCAGGGCGACUUCAAGCAUUGUGAAUUUCUAUAUCUGCUUUGGAAGCCUCGUCCCGCGGCUGGCCGUCAACAAAACUCGCAUGACACAUGCUCAAGAAAUUGACCUCGGAUCAGGUAGGAGUACCCGCUGAACUUAA
rnacentral:misc_RNA from 1 species